rnacentral:rRNA from 1 species
AGUCUGGCGGGGCGGGAGUGUCAGACCGGAAAACCGAGCAGGGCUUCCCCGAGCGGGGGCCGUCCGGUCGCACAAUGAGACCCGCAGGACCAGACGCACUUGACUCUCGCCCGAAGGACGCCGCAGCCGGUUGGGCAGCAGCAAGCGUGACGCCCUGAGGGGCGGGGGACGGAAGGUGGCCGGGGGCGCGCUCAGCGCUCCCCVGGUUGUUAGCCACCCCGCCAGUGGCGCGUCGCCCGACCGAGGUGUCAAGAGGCCCCUUGCGGGCCCCAGCGUCUCCACCUCCAGUAAGGUGGCGGGACGGAGCGUCCGCAGCCGGCCKGCGAAAGCCCGCGCGCACCCCGACCGGGGUGGCCGGGAUUGCGCCGGCCCUCGUUGGCGGCGCCGUACCCGUCGCGGAGGCCGGAGGCUGGCGGCGAGUAGGUCGGUCACCCACCCGACCCGUCUUGAAACACGGACCAAGGAGUCUAACAUGUGCGCGAGUCAAUGGGUCUCGAAGAAGCCCAGAGGCGCAACGAAAGCAAAGGCCGCGCACCACGCCGGCCGAGCUGGGAUCCCCGGCACAGCCGGGGCGCACCAGCGGCCCGUCCCGUCCGGCUCGCCGGUGGGGCGGAGCAGGAGCGCACACGUUGGGACCCGAAAGAUGGUGAACUAUGCCCGGGCAGGACGAGGACAGAGGAAACUCUGUUGGAGG